rnacentral:lncRNA from 1 species
UCAUCAGUACCACAGUUUUUUGAUAAUGGCAAACCACAUAAAUCCAAAUUUCCCAUGUAGGAAUCGUUAGUGAAAGUAUCAAAUUGUUUGCCUUGAGGAACGGGUCCCUUCAGAUUAUUUUGAGAAAGGUUUAACACCUCUAAGAAUCCAAGAUUUUUUAACUCUGUUGGAAUUCUUCCUUCCAGCUUAUUUGAUGAGAGAUCUAAUGAUUCAAGCUCUGACAAAUUACCUAAAGAUGAUGGGAUAGGACCUAUUAAACAGUUAUGGGAGAGAUUUAGGACAAUAAGUAAAUGAAGCUCACCAAGUAUUUUUGGAAUUUCUCCCCUGAAUUGGUUACUAGAAAGGUCAAUAACCGUCCAAAUGGAUAAUAGUGAUUCAAACUGUAUUUCCAGCCCUUUUGCUGUAACAGAUAAACCAGAAGCAUAAUCCACCCAAAAUGAACCAAUUGCAUCUUUCGUGAUCUUUACUUCUCUCAUGUAAUUUGGUUCAACUUUCUUUCCAUACUCAUCUCUAAUGGCAUGCAUAUGCUCAAAAAAAAGGGUAGGUAAGUAGCCACUAAAAUUAUUGUGAGAAAGAUCAAUGAUUCGCAAUUUAGUUAAAGAAACUGUAGUAUCAAAGCUCUCUAUUUGGCCGUAAAGUCUAUUCGAUCUCAAGAUAAGAACUUGCAGCUGAUCCAAAUUUCCUAACCAACUUGGGAAAGUGUCAUUCAAAUUGUUGUUUCCAACAUUGAGAAGAUUUAAAGCUUUGCAAUUACCCAAAGAUCGUGGUAGUGACCCUUCUAAUUCAUUGUUGUUGAUGCGUAAACUUCUCAACAUGCAACCUUUAGCAAAAUUUUCUGGUAUUUGACCAUGAAAAUUAUUAUUCCUUAGAUCAACUGCUGUGAGAGAAGAACUCAAGUUUCCGAUGCACUUUGGAAUUGUUCCCUCCAAAAUUUUCCCAUCUAAAGAAAUACUCAUAAGGGAAGUCAAAUUGCAUAUUGAAGAAGGGAUUUCUCCAAUUAAGUUAUUAGUUGAAACUCCAUACAAUUGCAAUAAAGGUGGUGGUGUUGGAAUUCGACCUUAGAGAUAAAAUUGAAAAUGAGAUAGAAUUAGGAGUUUGAAGAUUCUUUGGAAUAUAAAUUAUAAAAUAACUAUAUUUGUGAUGAUGUGUACACUCAAUACAAAUAAUGCAUCACAACAACUUUUAAGUUGUAAUCUAUUGAAGGAAACUACUACUAUCUUCUAGAGAGAAAUUUUUAUUUCCCUUACUUAAAAGUAAAAAGGGAUUGCAUAAAUGUAUAAAAAAUAGAAGGAAAAAAAAAUCAAACUAUACUUAAUAGUUUAUUAUAAAAGAGAUAACCAUUUAAUAUCUUACUUAUAUUUCAUUUUUUAGUGUUUAUUAUUAUUUUUUGUACUUUUAUGUAUAUUUUAUAAUUUAUUAUUGGGGUUCACGGUUGUUAUUGUCAAGAAUAUCAUCUCUAAGACUUGAAUCUUGUUCUCCCCUUAAGAGAAUAAUAUGUUUUACCACUGCACCGAAUAUUUAUUGGUGUAGUAUUUAUUAUAACUACAAAUAAUUUUAAUUAUCUUUUUAUGAAACUCUAAGUUAGAGGUCAAAUAAAAAAACAAAUUAAUUGAUAUAGUGUUUAAAUUUUUAUCAUUAUAUGUAAAGUUUUAAUUAUUAGUUAUAAUUUUUUUCCUCACAAUUGAAAUUUAAAAACGAUAUUUUAUGAAAUUUAAAGAUAACAUAAUUAAUAGAAAAUUGACAUUUUCUUUAGAGUCGGAAUCUAAGUAGUAGCAAUAUCUGUAACUGGUACUUCAAAUGUACAUUUUAUGUUUAUAAUUUUUAUAAGAUUGGGAGUUAAUUGAGAUUGUAGCCUCAAAAUUGGUGUUAAUAAGAAUGUAAAAGAUGAUGAUUUAAAAAUGGCUUACAAGAAGCUUUUUCGUUGUCCUUUUAUUUUAUUUUAUUUGAUAAUUAUUUGCUAGGUGAUGGGAAAAAUUGGGUUCCUUUGUUGAAAAUCCUAUAAAAACCACAAAGUUACUAAGUAAUGGGGGUUUUGAGUUUUUGUGUAACAACCCGAUUUUGGGCUUAGUCGGAACAGUGGUUUUGGGACCACAAAUCUGACGAGGAAAAAUUUAUUCUUAUUAUGUCUUUAUGGUCUACAAUUUCACAGAAUAAUAUCGUGAAAAUUUCGUUCGAAAAUUUUGACGUUUGAGCACUCGAUUUAGUAAAAAGGACUAAAUUGUAAAAAGUGAAAAAAUUGAGUUCUACAUGUUAGAAGUGUCCAAUUGUUAUGAAAUUUUAAAUUAGAGAUCCUUAUUUGGUAAUUAGACUAUUGGUUAAGUUGGUGGACAAAAAUGGACAUGGUUAGGCAUGUUUCCAAAGUUUUUCAUUAAUGGCGUUUUAGUCAUUUUUUUAAUUAAAAUGAAUUAAAAACAAAAUUAAAAGCCAAUUUUUGUCCAUCUUCAAGCUAGGGGCCGAAAUUUUCAUGGAGAAACCAUGGAUAUGGUUUUUCAAGCUUCCAAGCUCGAUUGUAAGUCCGUUCUAGCCCCAUUUUUAAUGCUUUUCACGUUUUUGAAAUCCUUGUAACAUGAUUUAUUUAUUUCUACCAUUUAUUUGAGAUAUGAUGAAGGUCUAGAUUUUGACCCAUGUUAUAAAUUUGUGUAUUUUGAUGGUUAAUGGUAGAUUUUGACCCAUUUAUUUGUGUAUUUUCGGUGAAAAUGCAUAAAAGGACUAGUUUGUAAAAAGAUUGUAAAAUGUGUGUAAGUGUGUGAAUAAGUGAAAAUUGUGGAAUGCUAUAGUUAUGAAAAUGGUUCAGCUAGGCCUAAAAUGCAAAGAAAUUGAAUAAAAUUAUUUUACAAGCCUAAGGGUAAAAUCAUAAUUUUGUGAAACUUUAGGGGAAAAGAUGUAAUUUUUCCAAAGUGUGAUUUUUGGACUAAAUUGAAUAAUUUGAGUGUUAAAUAAGGUAAAUGUGUUAUUAUAAAUUAAGAAAGACGAGAAAUUGACUUUGAUCAGUGAAAAAAAGUGAAAUUAUGAAAGAGUAUAUUUAGCAACAAAAUAGUUUAGAUAGAAAUAGUUGUGUGAUAUUGAAAAAUCACCAAAAAUCGUGUAAAUUGAAUUAGAGGCUGAAUAAUAUAUUAAAUUAAAGCUAAAUGAGUCUAUUUUCACAUAAAAGAGACAGAGCAAGCAAAAGAGUUUUAUAUUAUGAGAUAUUUUAAUUUUAGUGAGAUAGGGCCAGAAUGAUUUCGAAAUUCCCUCUUUUGAAUUUGGAAAAUCAUUAAAAAUUUUACAAAAAUAAUUAGGAGCUAAACUUUAUAUUUUUAGAAUCUUGAAUGAGUAUAGUUUCAAAAUAAACAAACAGGAACAUUAUCCAAAUUCUAUACAAUGAGAUAAUUAAUUUUUAGUGAAGAGGGGUCAGAACUGUCGAGCAUUGAAAUAGGAGAAAAUUUAAAGAAUAAAAUGUACUUAUUGGAUAAGAAAAAAAUAAUGAAAAUUUUAUGGUAAGAAUAUAUAUGAGUCUAGUUUCAGGUAAAAUGAAAGGAUCUUAAUUUGGAGCUCUGUAGCUCGAGAUAUAAAUAAAUUAGUGACUUUGACUCAGACAGACAGCUUGAAUUUACAUACAGGAAAAUAGUGAAAGAAUGGAUAAUGUUGUUUAAAUGUGUUAUACACAUUAAGGAUGUGGAAUGGAGAGGAGGAGGAGGAAAACUGGAAAAAUAUAGGAACGAUUCAUGUAUAAUUGGUCAUAUGCUCGAUUAUAAUUGAUAAAUGAUGAAAUAGAAAUGAUGCUUAUAUUUGUGCAUUAUUGGUCAUGGUUUAAGUUCAUGUGGGAAAAUAAGUUUCAUAGUAUGUGUGUAUGGUAUAUUGGGUAUAUGAUUUUGCAUGAAGUAAUGUCAUGAAUGGUUUAUGAAUUAACACAUGUCGGUAAGUUACGUGUAAAUAAUAGCAAUAUAUUUUUAUAAAUUGUGAAUUAUAUUUGGUAUGUGAAUUAAUAUUGAAUGUGGAAGGAAAAUUGUUCAUGAAUUAUUCAAGUGAUAAAGUGCUUAAAAUAAAGUGUUAAGUGCAAAUUCCUGGUUGAACUUAGGAAUAGAAGUGGAUACAAGUGACAUGUCACUAGAGACUAGUGUUAUAGUGUUACAGUGAGUCCCGGUUGCUGGGUGAUCUAGCAUGUGUUGCAGAUACCUGACAGCUUGUAUGAGCAGGCCCGUGGACAUUUUCAGUGUUAUUGAUUAGUGGUAACUUCGGCUACAUUUCAAUGGUAGCUACAGCUACAUAUCAGUGGUAGCUUCGGCUACAUUUUAGUGGUAUCUACGUCUACAUAUCAGUGGUAGCUUCGGCUACAUAUUAGUGUGACACUUAUGUGCUAAUUCUCUACUUAUUCGUGUAUAUUCCGAAUGUUCAAUGGGAUUAAUAAUGAGUUAAAAUGAAUAUGAAAUGUGGUGUACAUGCUUAGGCUUUGGUCAAGUUGUGGCUCAAUUAUGCCACGUUAAACUUAUAUUUAUGCAUUGUAUUGAUACGUUUAUGUUUUGUGUAAUAUGCAUAGGAACGGGUGUGGAAAGGUAAUGAAUUAAUAAGUUCAUACUUGAAGGGUAAAAUGACGAAAAAGGGGAUGAUGAGUUGAAUUGAUGUUGCUAUUUAAGCUAGAGUGAUAUUUUUAUUGGAAAAUUGAGAAUUUCAUAAAUGUGUUAAUGAAUGAUAUAAUCGAUAUACGUUGAGUUAAAUGUUAAAUACGUAUUAGUAUUGAACUUAAUAACAUUGAAUUGUACGUGAAUUAAAUGGAAAUUGCUAGUGAUAUGAUUUAAAUUGUGAGCAUGAGAAAUUGUGAAUUGAAUGAAAUGGAAAUGAAGCAUUGAAUUGCAUGAGUAUGUAUCGGGUCUCGUAGGUCCUAUUUAUUAUGAUUAUAAUAUUUUGAGGAUAUAUUGUGAAGAGUUAUAAAAACAUGUUAAUAAUUUUAAAAGUUUUAAUUUAGAUGAAAUUUUAUAACUCGGUUAAAUACAUUUACAAGUGUAUGUGUUCUGGUAAUGCCUCGUACCCUAUUUCGGUGUUGGAUACGGGUAAGGGGUGUUACAUUUUGGGUUUAUCAAAAUAACACUCACAUAUAAGUUUAUCAGCAUUUAGUUAUAUGUGUUUAAAUAUAAUCAUUUUUUAUAUUUAAUUAUAUGUGUUUGAAAAUAAAGUUAAUAGAAUUUUUAAAUAUGGAGGGUGAAAUCUAUUGAAUUAUUUAGAAUAAGAAUUAAAUUAAUAGAAUGUGUAAGUAUUAAGAAAUAACCGUGUUAUUAUGCCAGUUGGAAAAGGCAACAUCAUCACUUAAUCGUUAACUAUUUAAAGGAGAGUGAUCAAAAUAGAAACAAUCUAAAGUGUGAGUGACCAAAAUAGAAAUAAUAUAAAUGUAAGUGACUAAAUUAAAAAUAUUCAUAGUUGGGUGACUAAUUCUAUAGUUACCCUAGAUGGUAGAAGCAAUUAGGAUUAAUUCCACCAAACAUCUCAAACUAUUACUCAUAUUUUAAAUUGAACCCUAAACUUGUACACAUUCUAAUUAAAUUACUCAAAUAGAAUGUGAUAAUGUGUUAUGCUAUUAUUCAUCGAUAGUGCAUAGAACUUAUGUACCAACAAUGCAUCAAAUAUUCUCAUUAAAAGAAAAUGUAUAAAAUAAGUUUUAUACCAUCUAUAAUUUGUAAAAAAAUAUGUAUUGAAUAAAAAAUAUAAAAAUACAUAUCUAUAAUUCCACAAAAAGAAUUACAUAUCUAUAAUAUCUUUUUAUAAAUUCAAUUCCAAAUCUCCUGUACUAAAUCAACCUCACAAAUCUGAUUGAGGUUAAAAAGAAAGAAUGCAUGUAUUUUGCAAUUAAAACCAUGAUCCAUAUUCAAUUCUAAACUAUUGAACAUAUAAUUUUGCAUUAUUUUACCUCCCUUGAUUCUUCACAAACUCUUUGGAAUAAAUUAACCAUCUAUUCCUUAUUUCAAUUUUAUUAAAAAGAUAGGUUCCCAUAAAGACGGUCUUUACAAACCAGUGCACCUCUCAUAAACACAUCAGGGAACAUUGCCAUGAGAGAGGACCUAAGAAAACAUAAUACAAAGCACCCACACAAAAUGUUUAUUAAACAGCUACUGAAAAAGGCCUGCAUACCACCAAGCAAUGAAGUUUUCUGUUCUGUUUGCAACUUGUUGAACUCGCCCAAGUGUUGGCUUCUCUACCUUUUUGCAAAUCUAUGUUGGACUCGCUCCACGAUCCAAAUCAACCACCCUGGUUUUCCAGUCGUGAAUACAAUGUAUGCCAUGCUCAUUCCCAGCACCAACGCACAUCCAUACCCCAUCAAUAUUGAAAAUUUCCAAUUCAAUUCAUCACCAUCAUCAUCUCUAUCAAAUAUGGCUGGGGUUUCCUCAUCAGUACCACAGUUUUUUGAUAAUGGCAAGCCACAUAAAUCCAAAUUUCCCAUGUAGGAAUCGUUAGUGAAAGUAUCAAAUUGUUUGCCUUGAGGAAUGGGUCCCUUUAGAUUAUUUUGAGAAAGGUUUAACACCUCUAAGAAUCCAAGAUUUUUCAACUCUGUUGGAAUUCUUCCUUCCAGCUUAUUUGAUGAGAGAUCUAAUGAUUCAAGCUCUGACAAAUUACCUAAAGAUGAUGGGAUAGGACCCAUUAAACAGUUAUGGGAGAGAUUUAGGACAAUAAGUAAAUGAAGCUCACCAAGUAUUUUUGGAAUUUCUCCCCUGAAUUGGUUACUAGAAAG